rnacentral:tRNA from 1 species
GCCGGUAUAGCUCAGUUGGUAGAGCAUCUCAUUCGUAAUGAGGGGGUCAGGGGUUCGAGUCCCCUUUCCGGCU